rnacentral:rRNA from 1 species
CUGAGAGGAUGACCAGCCACACUGGAACUGAGACACGGUCCAGACUCCUACGGGAGGCAGCAGUGGGGAAUAUUGCACAAUGGGCGCAAGCCUGAUGCAGCCAUGCCGCGUGUAUGAAGAAGGCCUUCGGGUUGUAAAGUACUUUCAGCGGGGAGGAAGGGAGUAAAGUUAAUACCUUUGCUCAUUGACGUUACCCGCAGAAGAAGCACCGGCUAACUCCGUGCCAGCAGCCGCGGUAAUACGGAGGGUGCAAGCGUUAAUCGGAAUUACUGGGCGUAAAGCGCACGCAGGCGGUUUGUUAAGUCAGAUGUGAAAUCCCCGGGCUCAACCUGGGAACUGCAUCUGAUACUGGCAAGCUUGAGUCUCGUAGAGGGGGGUAGAAUUCCAGGUGUAGCGGUGAAAUGCGUAGAGAUCUGGAGGAAUACCGGUGGCGAAG